CCUGUCGUCGCCCCCGCGCCUGGGAUGCGGCCUCUCGGGUCGUAGUCACCCUCGCCCGCGCCUCCGCCCACCACCGCCCCGUUCCCGGUCGCUGCCGCCACCGCCGGGGCUCAUGCGGGACCCGCGCCGCCUUCUCCGGAAGCCGGGCCGGGACACGGCGCGCCUGGGCCGCCGAGAACCCGACGCUCGUCGCCAGCCGCCGCUGUCGGUGCGCGCCGAGGGGUUGCGGAGCCGCCUGGCAGGGGCUGCAGGCCGCGAGCGACGCCGAGGAGGCGCUGAGGGUCGGCGGAGGCGAAGCUAAGCGGGCAGCGGGCGGCUGCGCAGCGGCGGGGCGCACGAGCGAGGGCUGGGUGGUGCGUCGCGGUCUAGGCGGAGAGGGAGCGGGCCCUGUCGUCUCCCAGAGUCACCCCGAUCCCAGCGCCACCAUCUUGGGAGGAACACUGAUCUCGCGACCGCGGCGCCAAACGGGAGGACGGGCUGGGCGGGCCGAGUAUCCCGGCAGGCAGCGCGCGCCGCCCGGCCGGGCGAGGGCUUCAAGCCGAGACGCGAGGAGUCGGGGCCGGACGGAACGCACGCGGAGGGCGCCGCGCUCGGCCCCACCCCCGGCCAGCUCGCCCCCCUCCGGCUUCCCGUCGCCCCCGGCGCAGGGGCGGCUGGGAAGGGGAGAUGAGGGCUCGCGGCUCGGCCGAACCCACCGGGGCCGGCCGCCAUCUUAGGACUGGGCAAAGGGGUUAACACUCACCUCACUCUGUGCUGUCGGUGGCCGAGCAGAAAGAACCAGGUACGCUCCGGAAGCCCGCGGCACUCCCUGGAGGGCUGGACCGCACCCCGUGGUCUACCCAGUGGAAGAACGCCUCCGAUUUUAUUGGGGGACGAGUCGGCUCCGAGUAUUGGCGGAGGCGGCGUUGAUAGGUUCAAGCCCCGAGGCGGCGCAGAAGCCUCAGUCGCUAGGCUCCGACCCUGACCACCCCUCUUCACCCGGAGCUGCUCCGGUAAACGGGACAGGGUGACCUGAGCGUGCGGGCUAGCUUUCCGGAGGCCAAGGUCAUCCGCUUAGGCCUCCUGCCCGCGCAGAGCGCAUCGCUAGCCCCCGGGACCCGGCGGGGAGCGCCCGUCCCCUCGCGGAGGGCUCCCAGUGCGUCCGGGUGGCGAAGUGGCCUCCGAGUUGACUCCACGUGGAUGGAAGCUAAUUUUGAUCCGCAUGUCGGCCGAACCGAUUUGAAGCAAACUCUGCCAGGCCUUGAGAAGCAAUAAAAGAUCGACAAUCUCUAUCCCUGCUCUCAAGAAAUCAGUUCAAAAGGAAGUAAAAGUAUGGAAACUUUUUCAGUGAUUAUGAGAGUAGUCUACUAAUAUGUAUCUACUAAUCCCAACAAGCUUUUUAAAAUGAAGCAUUCUUCCCUAAACUGCUGGUGUAGCUGGUUUUUUGACAGAGCUAUUUUGUUGCUCAAGAUUUCUUGUUGAUGUGAAUCACAACAGAUGAAUCCAAGUGCAAAAACAUUUUUUGUCUUACGCAGCGUACCCCAGGAUCAGAAAUCCGAGAGUCUGGAAAAAAUAAAGGUUAAAUGGGGUGGUAUUCAGUGUUGUUGUUUUUAGGCCUCAUCAAAAUGUUAACACGUUCAAGACAUUAAGCUUUCAGUAUGUGAGUACCCCUAGUAUUAAGAAACGCUAUUGAAGUAAAAUUAGCUCCAUGAAGAACAUUGUCUGGUUUAUAAGUGCGUUUAAAAACUUUUGGGGGUGGUACUGGAGAUUGAACUCAGGGCAUUUUGUUUGUUUGGUUGGUUGGUUUUUGCUUAUUUUGAGUCAAGGUCACUAAAUUUCCCGGGCUGGGCUCAGAUUUGUAGUCCUGCUGCAUCUUUCUCCCAGAAUGCAGUCAAGAAUUUGUUAGUCCUUAGUAGUAGUACUAUUAAUAUUAUCUGUAUCGUUAUUUAUCAUUAACAUGUUGUGCAUGCUCUCCUUCAUGCCUAACCUGUGUAAAUCUGCAUUCUUCUUGAUUUGUCUUAAGAUAUGAACCAUUCAUCCUUUC
rnacentral:lncRNA from 1 species